rnacentral:rRNA from 1 species
UUUAUCGGAGAGUUUGAUCCUGGCUCAGGACGAACGCUGGCGGCGUGCCUAAUACAUGCAAGUCGAGCGGACAGAUGGGAGCUUGCUCCCUGAUGUUAGCGGCGGACGGGUGAGUAACACGUGGGUAACCUGCCUGUAAGACUGGGAUAACUCCGGGAAACCGGGGCUAAUACCGGAUGGUUGUUUGAACCGCAUGGUUCAAACAUAAAAGGUGGCUUCGGCUACCACUURCAGAUGGACCCGCGGCGCAUUAGCUAGUUGGUGAGGUAAUGGCUCACCAAGGCAACGAUGCGUAGCCGACCUGAGAGGGUGAUCGGCCACACUGGGACUGAGACACGGCCCAGACUCCUACGGGAGGCAGCAGUAGGGAAUCUUCCGCAAUGGACGAAAGUCUGACGGAGCAACGCCGCGUGAGUGAUGAAGGUUUUCGGAUCGUAAAGCUCUGUUGUUAGGGAAGAACAAGUGCCGUUCGAAUAGGGCGGUACCUUGACGGUACCUAACCAGAAAGCCACGGCUAACUA